rnacentral:rRNA from 1 species
GACGAACGCUGGCGGCGUGCUUAACACAUGCAAGUCGAACGGAAAGGCCCUGCUUGCAGGGUGCUCGAGUGGCGAACGGGUGAGUAACACGUGUGUGAUCGGCCCCUUACUUUGGGAUAAGCCUGGGAAACUGGGUCUAAUACUGGAUAGGACCAUGCUGGAGGUUGGGUGGUGGCAAGAUGGGUUUCGUUGAUGGAUGGGCUCGCGGCGGAUUAGCUUGGUGGUAGGGUAAAGUCCUAGCAAGGCGUCGACCGAUAGCCGGCCGGGGAGGGUGAUAGGCCACAGUGGGACUGAGACACGGCCCAGAGUCGGAGGGGAGGCGGCAGUGGGGAAUAGGGGAGAAUGGGCGAAAGCCUGAUCCAGCAAUGCCGCGUGAGUGGUGAAGGCCUUAGGGUUGUAAAGCUCUUUUACCCGGGAUGAGAAUGACAGUACCGGGAGAAUAAGCUCCGGCUAACUCCGUG